UCAAGCCAUAUGCAACUUUGCAAGAGCGAGCUGAGAGUGGAUUAUGAAAGUUGUUUUCUUUCUUGUAUUAAGCCAGGAUAAUUUAGAGAUAUACGGUCCAGAUUUUAACUUGCUGUCUACGAUACCCAAUCUACGAUACCCAACUGUGUCUCCUGCAGUAACUCUGUUAGAUUAGCUUAGCUCACCGGUGACCUAAUACUAAACAGGCAAUCAAGAAUUCAAGCCUGACGCCCACAGAUCUGAACCGCUGUGAAGCCCCUACCACCAAGACCAAUCACACUGACCCAUGGCCCUGACGACUAGACGGCGGCAGCUCCGGACAUCAGAUCAGGGGCCUGUUUCAUAAAGAGUUACAAGUAACAUUGCCGUUAUGGCAACUACCAUGAUAAUAAGGCUCAGCAGCCAAUCAUAAUCAAGAUUUCCAUGGAAGUUACAAUAAUGACAAAGUUACGAUAGUUGUAAGUCUUUAUGAAAUGGGCCCCUGAGCAUCAGCUCACCUGCAAAGCUCGGACGCAAAGCAAUCAGAUCGAUCAGAAUGUCAAGCAAGCAGAGUGCUAUCCAUGAAAAUAUAACCCUAAAGGGGUCAUCCGGUAGAAGUGCCUGAAAAGGAAGCAUGGAAUAUGGAGAUAGAUUGUAAAGAAGUCAUCGUCAUGAUGGAGGAUGAACUCAACAAACUCGGGUCAGAGGUCAAGAAAGUACCUGUAAAUAUGCCACCAGAACCAGUGCCAUUAUAACAAGGGAGAGAAUGCUAGUAGAGGGACAAAUGGAUUUCGAAACAACUUGUCAUCUUGCCAAACAUGAAGGACCAGUCAACUUCCCCCAAGGCUGAGAAGACGGUGAAGGCUGUGAAAGCACUGGUUGAACUCCUGUCACUCGGUGUACAAUAUGGAUCCACCCCCUAUCUGGUGCUAACCAUCUUCGAAGCAGAAAUCAGAGGGAUAGUCUACCAGAGACAAGGACAUGACAGCAAUCUUCAAGUCUUUAUUUACACAGAAUGUCUGGUGUGAACAGUUACUGGUCUUUGCGUGAAGUGUAAUCAACAUUAGAAUGGCUUCGACACCAAACACUUCAUAUAGCACCCAUCUUGUGUUGAUAAUGCUCCUAGUAUUCAUGAUAGAGAUAGUAAUACAGGGAUUUGCACUUGACGCCAGUCAUUAUCUACACUCUAGUGUCUGGUGUUGGCCCUAUUUUAACUGGGCUUUCUCCAGAUCAAGUUUUUAUUGAUAGAGUGUAGAUGAUGUUUCCUGUUAUGUGUAAUGCUAUGUGGAUCAUUACUCCCAUGAAUAUCUAGAAUAAGGUAAAACCUUAAUAAUGGGGAGGGGGGUUUGGGUUCAUCAGACUGAAUGACUAAAUAUCAGUUCAAAUUUUAAUUCAAUUAUUGAAAACAAUUUUAGUAUUAAAUAUGUGAAUCGCAUAUAUGCAUUCACUACUGAUGAACUGAUGAACCCAUUUGGAUAUUUGGAUACAUAUUUACGAUGACUUUUGUGUAGCUCUAAGGAGCAGGUCCAAGCUAUCAUUUCUUUACCUAUAGUGUAGGAAUAUAAUAGUUUUUGGAGAUAUUUGUGGGGUUAAUAGUAACCAAUUUGAUCUUAAUGAAUUUGGUAUUUGUGUUUAUAUUGUACUGACUUUUCUGCAUGAGUGGAUCCAAAGUUGUCCACAGUUUUUUGCCAUAGAGUGUUAUCUCUAGUGUUUCACUCUGGAUCUACUUGUCGUAGAACUGGUCCGGGGGGGGGGGGGGGGGUGGGGAGAGUUGGGGGUUGGGCAGACUAUUCUGCAAAAGUGGAUCCAAAGGUUUUUCCAGAGUUUUUCCCUAUUGAGUUUUAUCUCUGGUUUUUUACCCUGGGUCUACUUGUCGUAGAACAUGUCGGGGGGGGGGGGGAUGGGGUGGGGGUAGGGGUAGGGGUAGGGGUAGGGUGUAUGCAUUUGUAAGAGGAUGAUCUUAUCAGAUUUCAGGAUCAGGGGUCAAAGGUCACAAAUGUCAUUAAUUAAAAAUAUUAGAAGUUGGGUGUGUAAUAUAUUCUAGACCUGGCAAUAGCAGAGGCAUAAAUUUUGAUGGCGUGCAGUCAAGAAUCCCAUCUUUUUCUAUCAAACUUUGCAUGGUCCCAUUUAUGAUUCCAGUCAUGUGGGGUUUUUUGUAGUAUAUAGUCUAUAUUUGAAAAUUACUUUUAUAAAUAUGAAAUCAUUUGAAAUUAAUGAACAGAUUAUGAAACUAACAAAACAUUUCUGGGAAGUGUUUCACAAAGAGUUAUAAACUGACUAGAUGUCAUGCUUAAUUAAACCUAUAAAAGUAUUUAGAGUCUCAUUGAUUGAUACAUGUACUUGUAUGCAGUAUAGUGUAUCCUCUGAUUCUGAUCCAACCAAUAUGGUGAUCUGUUAUUUUCCACACACAAGUGGAAAUUUAAGAGCAAUUUUCAGUCACGCUUAAAAUCUUUGUGAAACGCCUCUUUGAUUUGACUUUUACGUCAUACGUUCUAGGGACAGUGAUAUUCUGUUUACUGGUAAUUCAAAAUUUGUUUUGAUUCUUUACUUUUCAUGCUAAAAUCCAUUGAAUUUACUUUUGAAAAACAAAAUUAAUGUAUUUGCUUUGUACAUUUUCUAUGACAAAAUGGAAUUUCCAUAUUAGAUCAAGUUUAAAACAGAGUUACAGGAUUCCAGAAAGAAAAAACCCCAUGAAUUUGUAAAACUGAAAAUCACUGUCCAUAUUGUCACAUCAGAUAGCUUGGACCUGCCCUAUAAAUGUAGUUUAUGAUUGUACCCUAUACUUGCUUUGUAUUCACAAUCUUAUUUCUCUUUCUUGAAAAUAAAAUGUUAAGACCGGCAGCCAAGAAGAUUCAUUCAAGUUGGAGGACCAGAGCAGCUGACCUCAUUGAUGGAGUAGGCCCUAGACCUCACAAACAUGGUUUCCUGUCUGGUUUGAGCUGGGAUCUUCCUGCCAGAAUCACAUAAUAUGUGAUGUCACUGCCAAGAGAUCUAUUUUUAGUGUGCAGAGAAGGGCACUUGACACUACUAUGCGUGGUAUACAGCAUCUAUGAUGUAAGUGCUUUAUUGAUGAUUUCAGUGAUAUUUUGUGUAGCCUAGAGUAUGUGAGACAAUGCAAUCAUUUUUCCAGCAAUUGUAACUGAGGGAAAUAAUUAGUUUGGAAAUAUUGGGCAGCAAUUUUUAUACAAAUUGGGCUUUUUAUCCACAUUUGCCACAAUUGCACCUUCAUGACAUUCUAUCCAAUCUUUGGAAAGAUAUUCUUUGUAUGAAAAUGUAUCAAAACAAUAUAAUUCGUGAACGCAAUUAGAAAAACUUUUGGGGAUUUAAAAAACAAACCUCCUCUACAGUACAAUACUUGCGUUAUCUGUUGAUCCAUUGAUUGCUGUCUUUCUUUAUAUACCUUUCUGUACUAUCUGCUCUAGCUGCUGCUCUAAAUUCUUCUUUGUUUCACAUUGUCGCAACAUAAUCUGCCAUGACUGAUAUAAUAAUGUGCUAAUAAGACAUAAAGAAAUCAUUUUAAAGGAACUUGAUAUAUAUUUACAGACUUUGAUCUCAUUAUUUUUAAAAUUAACUGCAGAGCCAUGAUAGAGCAGUGUGAAUUAAUUGCAAUAAAUCUACCCCCUAUUUCCGUACAUAUUAAUUUUUCAGACAGACUAAUUUUACUUUUUCAAACUGUUUGGUAUGAUCCCCAUUCACCAUGAACCUAAUUUUUUUUUUGAAAAUGCCGAGUGUGUAUCCAUCGUGUAAACACAGAAUGAGAGAGAUUUAGCCAGACCUGUGUUGGAUGAUAAUGAUAUUGUGAUGAAGGUGGCUUCUCAAUAUCGGUUUGUUUGCCAAAAACUAUAAAAAAAAACUGUUUAAUACUCAACUUUGGAUAAAAAGUUGAACCCGUUUUUAUGAGGAUUGUGUGCUUCAAUGGUUUCUCCACAAUGUGUAAAGGUAAAGAAUGUUCCUUCAAUCACUGCAAUACAAGUUAGUCUGGAAUCUAGUUUUAGAAGUGCAAUACCAAAUUUUGAUUUCUUGCCAGCAAGUGCUAUUUACUUUUCAAGAGCCUUGCCCACUGUAGUGUUUCUAGUUGACCCUUAUUGAUAUUUUGUAGUGUGCCUGUUUUGCACGUUUGUCAAAUUUAUUUGAUGGAGCAGUUCAGCCAAAAUGGCUUUUGGGCUUCCUGAGUGGCACUGAUUAAGAUUGAUCAAGAACUGGUUUGCACUCCAAAGAAGAGAAGAGAGGAACUGUUGACCUAUGUUUGAAGAGAGUGCUGCUCACUUCCGGAGUAUUGUUUCAAUUGCAUGUGACAUUUUUGCAUUUGGUGUUGGAAAAUCUGCAAGUUGAAUAUAAUCCUUUAGAAGUUCAAGUGGUGAUAGCUUAUGAGGGAUCUGUGCCUUGGAUAUAUUUACUAAUACAUGGUGCCUUACAGGUGGUCUGAAUGAUAAUCAUAAUUGUAUUAUAUGGUAGACAUUUCAGCACUGAUCUGCAUGGUUCUUGCUAGCUAAGCUUAUUACCAUCUGGAUUCAUCCACAUUUCAGUCUGUGGGUGGGGCAGUGAUCCACCAGAUUAUCAACCUUCCGAACUCUCCAUCUUCCAUUCUUUCCAUGGUUAAUUGAUCAUUGCAUUAUCUGGUAGUAUUCCCUUGAGGAACAUUCAAGUCAUAGUCAUAUCCUGUGUGAAUGAGAAUGGCAUUUAUUCACUUGGCUGAAUUUAAAAGGGUUGCUGUAUUUGGGAAGGUUUGAUCGAACUUGGCAUAUCUGAUUUUGUUGUCCAGGUUGUCUUUCAGAUUUACAAUUUCUCUGUCCUGUGCUUUGAAAACUUUAUUCAGUACAAACCAGAGCUGCUUUUUGGACCUGAAAAAUGAUCUUAAGUCAGGCUUAACCUACUGUGGUCGUAGAAGAAUGUGACAUACGGGAAGGAGCCAGACAGGGAUGACUCUUUGACACCUGAAAGUCCUGACCAUGAUGAUUACUGAAAGAUGCUUGUAAUUCCUUGAAGAGCCUCAUCAGCAUCCAAACAUGGUGACAUCACCCUCAAGGGGUCAGAGCAAAUGAUUCUUCGAGACUUGACCAUGGCAUGGUAUUCAAUUAAAGAGGAUUGUUGUACCUUGAACAGCCUGAGCAGGAUUUUUGCAUGGAUCAAUAAUUGUGGCAGGGACGAAGGGGCAAAAUCCAGCCUAUAAAGUAUCCCAGUUUUGAAAGUUCAUCCAGUAGUUUCUUGUAUGAGUUUUGGAAGUUCUGUUUGUUGCCAUCUGUGAAAUGGACAUUUCUUCUACGAGAAAAUUGUAGCAGUUGUCAUUGACCUUCUGCCUAAAGCAUUGGAUUCCUACAUCUAGUCUGGAACGAGCUGUGGAAAUUUUCAUUUGGUGCUGUAUCUGAAAUUCCUUUGAUUUUCCUUUUGUUGAAGAAAGUGUUUCAUUCAUUCGGAAAGUAGUUUUGGAAAUUUUAUGGGGUGCCGUCUCAGAAAUUUGACAUUGCACUUCACUACUAGGGAACAUGCAUUGUAUUGUGGUGAUUGAUGGUGCAUUGUGGGAUGUAAGGUGCAUUUCCUCAGGACGAGUCUAUCUUGAGGGUUCGACCUGUUAGAUCUAGAUUCACAAUAUCUUGUCAUUCUGAAUGCAAUAGCUUUGUCUCUCAAAAUUCUGUGGAAAGAAGUGAUGGAUACAUACGCAAACCAAAUCAUUUGGUUCCUCUAUGACGGUGAAUAAAUGAAGGGGAAUCAAUAAAAACAAGAAAGAAAUGAAAAGAAACCACAAAAUUACUUUUUUUCCUUCUGGUUUAUUGCUGAAUGUUAACAAUGCAGUGUUCAUUGAAGUUCAUAGAAACACUAUUGUAUAUGUACAGAAAAACGGUGCAUUUAUUUGCAAAAUUAUUCCAUUUACAUCUGCUCAGGCUCCUGCUCAUUUGAAAAGAAUACCCCCCCCCAAAAAAAAAAAAAGUAAUAAUAAAAAUGACGCAAAAAUACAAUGAUAAAAUGAUGCAAUAGGUUAUUGAUUAAAAAGAAAAAAAUAUAACAUUAGUAAUAAUACUGUAUAAAUGAAAUUAUUAAGAACAUUUUAAUAUCAGUCAUGUUUUUGAAUGUUGAAAUGAUGUGAAAUGAAGGAAGAUUGGCAGAUUUGGGGAGCAUUUCAUGAGAUUUGUCAGUGAUUAUCACCAACUAAUUUGCAUUGACGAAUCGGAUGCAGUGAUUUACAAUAGCUCAUAUCAUCUGUUGGCGAAAAAUUACUGACAAAAAUCUUCAUGAAAUGCUUCCCUGGAUGGAUAGUACAGGGAGGUAUGGAGAGAGACCACAAUUAAUGGAUUAACUGGUAAACUUGUAGAAAGAAAAGGGGAAGAGGGGGGGGGGGGUAGUAAUGAGGAAGGGGGCAGACUAAAGGAAUUAAGGUGGUUUGGUUCCAGGAUGAAUGAGACUACAAAGGAUAACAGACCAAUUCAUAUGGCAAGAUAGAGAAAAGGUGUGGGGGGUGGGUGGGAAAAUCAGUGCAUUGUCUCACAUUCACUUGGCUACACAAAGUAUUCAUGGAACUUGUAAAUAAAGCACUUACAUUAUGGAUGUUGUAUGUCAUACAUGGCAGUGUCCAGUGCCCCACCCUGUACACUUAAAAAUAGGUUGAUUGGUAGCGAUGUCAUGUAUUGUAUGAUUUUGUCAAGGAGACCCCAGCUCAGGGCUGCUGGCCAUUUUGUGAGGAUUAGGGUUUGCUCCAUUGAAUCAAGAGGUCAGAUGCUUUGGCAACCUCUAUACUUGAAUGAAUCUUCUUGGCUGCCGGUCAUUU